GAUGAACGCUGGCGGCGUGCUUAACACAUGCAAGUCGAACGGAAAGGCUCCUGCUUGCAGGGGUACUCGAGUGGCGAACGGGUGGGUAACACGUGGGUGAUCUGCCCUGCACUUCGGGAUAAGCUUGGGAAACUGGGUCUAAUACCGGAUAGGACCGCAUUUUGGAUGGUGUGGUGGAAAGUUUUUUCGGUGUGGGAUGAGCUCGCGGCCUAUCAGCUUGUUGGUGGGGUAAUGGCCUACCAAGGCGUCGACGGGUAGCCGGCCUGAGAGGGUGUACGGCCACAUUGGGACUGAGAUACGGCCCAGACUCCUACGGGAGGCAGCAGUGGGGAAUAUUGCACAAUGGGCGCAAGCCUGAUGCAGCGACGCCGCGUGGGGGAUGACGGCCUUCGGGUUGUAAACUCCUUUCGCUAGGGACGAAGAGUAAUUGACGGUACCUGGAGAAGAAGCACCGGCUAACUACGUG
rnacentral:rRNA from 1 species